GACGAAAGGAUGAACCAAACACUGAACGACGGUAAAGAAAUGAUCAACUCUUCAGAUCGAUCCUUGCAUUUUUCGCAGCCGUGGUAACGUAUUACACAUGCAGACACAGAUGGGAGGGAGGGCUGGACAUUGUGUGGAAGCUUGAUAAGGAGGUCGUAAAAUAUAAAUAUCCCCUGGUCUUACCGAAAAGGAAGAGAGUUUGUCAUCUGCAUCUGCUCGGGUGAGUACCUGCUGCUCCUUCCAAUGGUUUUUCUUUAAAACAAUGUAUGUUUAGUAUUUAAUGACAACUUUUUUUGUUGUUUUAACACAGCAAAUAGCAACAUCAGCUACUAUUUUUUUAAUUCAUUUUCUGAAUCUUAAAACAACUUUAUAAACGUUAGUGAAAAUAAUUUCCAUGAAUUGACACGUUUAUCGUUUUAUCUGUCAAGUUCGAUAAACUUCUUUUUGUGCUUUUUUUUGAGAACUUUCCCACAUAUUUGUGCUUUUGCAUCAACAGCGGCAGUUUAAAACCGGAAAGGAUUCUGCACAGACGCAUCUUUUGCCCUGCGACAAUGCAAACUAAUCUUCUCCUGGUGACACUUUGUCUCCUCGGUUCAGGUAAGAACUGUUGAUUUUUCUUGACGUGUUAAACAGACAAACUUUUCCCAGAGAACUUUUAGAUCAGAUUUUUAACCCUUAAAAUGAUAGAAUUUAGUCAAAACUGUAUGAGAAGAAAUAUAUUUUUCAUUGUAGCAUUUAGUUUAGUGGAAUUUUCUGGUGUUUGUAGUAUUUUUCUAAAUCAAUUUGGUGUUAUUUGGGUGUGGCAUCUCUUUGGGAUGUGAGGUCAUAAUUGAUUGGGUCAUAAAUUGAAAUGUCUAAACUUUUCUGAAGUCAGAGCUUGUUGAACCAAAAAUGAUGUUAUUGUUUAGAAAAAAUGAGAAUAAAUUUACAAGGAAUCAAAAUACUAACUACAAAGUGCUAAUUUCCCGUCAAAUAAGAAGGGUUUAUUUGUCUUUCAACCUGGGUAACUUCUACUUUACAGUAAUCCUAUGUGGAGGACAGAGUACCACAGAGGAAAGCUCUACAAUAACCCCAACGAUAACCCCAACGAUAACCCCAACAGACAGCAAUAGUCCAAGUCAGUCAACUCCAACUGCUGACUCCAACCCAACCUUAAGCACUAAGCCCCUUCCAACCUCCACCUCCGAGUCCAUCACAGUUACAACAGAUGAAGGAGCUACACCUGAACCCUCAUCGGGGCUCUCAGCAGGAGCGAUAGCCGGCAUCGUCAUUGGUUCUAUUGCCGGGGUGGCUCUACUCGGUGGAGGCAUCUUUGGUUUGCUGAAAUACACCAAAAAGAUUUAAAAUAUCUACAAAUAAGGACUCUGUGUUUGGAAAUGCAGGAAACCUUCAUUUUUCUGAUGAAGUUAAGGGGACCAAAACAAUCGUCAUUUUGUCUGAAAGGCUCACAUGUCAUGGGCCCAGAGGAAGACAAAAAAUAAGGAAAUUUCACAAUAAUUGUCUGACUGAUAGUGAAUCACAAGAUUUCUGAUAGACAACUUCAUUUACAUUUUAUAUUUUCAUUGUUGGCAGAUGCUCUGCGUGUAAUUGCUUGGGUAUGACGUUUAUUUAAUGUGCCAGAAGAAAACCCUCUCAAUCACAAAGGGCGCCUCCACGUGCUGGAAUGAGAGGGCGGAGUAUGGGUGCUGCUGUAUGUGUUGCAAAACUAUUGACGUAAUUUGAGAACUGGGGUGAGUUAGUAUGACGUCAUCCAUAGAAAAUGACUUACUUCUGGCCCCAACCAAAUAUAGUUGCCGCCAUGUUGGAGCCAGACUUCAUCAGUCCGAGCUAACAUUACUAUGGCAACCACUCUCACCAAUCAAGAGUGAGAUUGUUGACAGUCCACACACCCCUACCACUUGAAAGGGGGCUAAACAAAAUCUGUCAAUCAAAAGAUUUUUAUGUUUGUUGUGGGUGCCAACAGGCUCCACAUACAUUUAUUCAGGCAUCUGAUUGGCCAGUUUAGAACUUGGAUAACUUGCACUAUAAAAAAAAAGAGGAUUAUCGAGAAGAUGUUAAGAAAAAGAGUAAUCUGACCAAUAGAAUUUUUAUAUCACCAUAGAAGUCUAUGGGAUUUUGGCUUCUUGGAGCCAGCGGGUACUUUCUGAAUGGAACGACAAGGGGGGGAGGGGUCACUCAGUCCAGUUCUCAUAGACAGUUAAUGAGUAAAACAUUAAAAGCUAGAUGUUGUCUUUACUUUCAUCAUAAAAUGACUGGGACUGCAAUUAUUCUAUUUAACUUCUUCUUUUUUCUUGAAACACCUAGGGAAGCUAUUUAAACAAAGUUCUUUACAAAUCACUUAAUAUAGUUAAUAAAGAUGAUAUGUUAUCCUGCUGUCGUAUUUUUAUGUCUUUACAACAUUUAUGGUUAAAAUUCAAUUGUAUUUUUUACGAUGAACUUCCUUUUACAUAAAGACUGUUUGCUUGCAGAUCAUUUUAACAACAUAAAGAAUAAUGUCCUAAAUGUGUUUCUAAUAUGUCAUAUUUUAAACCAUAACUAAGGAAAAUCCACAAUACUAAUUUAUUUACUCUCAGAGAAAACUUCACAUGUACAAGUCAUAUUUAUCUUGUUGUAAUUGGAGGUUUUUCUAUUGUUGACAAAGACUUCCUUUGUCUUUUUAAUCCUCUUAAUUUUAUGGUCACAGGGUGUUUCCUGAUUGCAGGUAGAUAAGAAACUAUGUGACGUUUUGAGGCUGGGUAGCUCGGUUGGUAAAGGGCUGCCACGCAGGAAUCCAGGGUUCAAUUCCCGGAGGGGAAUAAACAAUGGUACUGGGGGCAAUUACCAUAUCAAUGGCAAGCAAUAAACAUCACCCGGUGGGGGUCCUUGGGCAAGACCCUACGCUACUGCCUCCUGAGCACCACAGUUCAGCUGCAGCUCACCCAUUUCCCAUUGUGGGAUAAAUGAAGUAUGACUUAUUAUUAUUUUAUUAUUAUUUAUUGGAGAAAACUGGAAAUGUAUUCACGUUACCUUUAGAGAUGAUCCCUUUGAGAUUAUGACACAAAACAAACACCUCCGUUUUUAUCCCAAAGAAGAAAACUUAAAGUCAUCCAUGCCUUUCUGUCCCUACCCUAACCUUAACUCUAGCCUAUUGUGUAUUAUUACACAAGCCUGUUUUUAUAAAUCCUCCACAAUUCUGAACAGUUUCAAACCAAUUCUUAAAGGAAACUUCCUAACUGCAUUACCCACAAAGCCUCACUUUUAAAUACCAGUUGGGUGGAUGACCAUACAAAGCGCACACAGGGUUUGUCCCCUUCAACUCCACACUGAUAUAAAUGUUCAAAACAAUUUGACUAAUUGUUAGUAGCCGUGUUCAGAUGCCAGAGACAUUACAGAUCCUCAUCAAAAAUGUAAAAAUCUGUAUUAAAAUACAGAAAAGAAAAAGACAAAUUCAAUCCUUAUUAGUUACAUAACUGACCUCCGGUUAAUAAUUAACUUCAAUAGAGUAAUUUAUGGGAUGAGUAAAUGAUUAUUAGUAAUAAACAUCCUGAAAAUAUAUAAAUAAAUAAUAUAUAAAUAAAUAGAGACAUUUUGUCUAACGUGAGUGAAAUAAGGAAAACUGCCUGCAUAUCAUAAAACACCAGUCAAAACAUUUGAUUUUUACUGAUGCGCUCAGGCCAAAGUCCUGGCAUUGGUCCCAUUGGUUCAGCUUCACUGACCAAAGGCUCGUGGUGUCCAGGAUGCACUUUCAUGUGGACUUUAGCCCAUAUGGGGCUGUUGCAGUUUUAUGGCAUGGUCAUUUGUCAGGGAAGUGUCAACACAAGGAAGGCAUGGAAACUACCUCGAACACCUUGACCUGUGUGUUCAGGCCACAUGGCUUCCACAGGAGCAGGAUGAACACUGAGCAGGUGUUUGUGUUGGAGGAGAGGAAGGUGAUGUGUCUUUCUAUUGUUCUCCUGGAGAUCAAAUUUUAUUUUAAUUGGGAGGAUUAGUUUUUAUUUAAACUCUCGUCUUUGGUCAAUAAAAGAAAAUCUUGAUGAUCAGAUGAUCAUCAACAGAGAAAAUUGUACUUAUGCUUAGUGGUAAAAUUACGAGCACUGAAAGGUUUUCUAGUUUGAUACGUCCACACCUGGAGUGGGCUUCAGUGAUGGUGCUGUAUUAAGAAAUGUAGGUGAAGCUGCCCCCAUCACACCAAGCAACUAAAGCUUUAGUCACAACUGUCCUUAUACGAACUGUCUGCUGGUAAAAAAUGAGCAAACCUGUGUGAGGCACGCAGGACAUUUUAAGAUGGUAGACAACUCAGUGAGCCUGUAUAGGGAAAAUGCUCACGCACAUUUUUUUUCUACAAGCAUGCUGCUAGCGACAGGUGGUAGUGAACAUUUUUACAGCUCGUAAGGGUGAAGUGGGCGAGAGGCAGACGUGACGUACAGAUUUUUCCUUUUUCAACCCUCCUAAAAAUAAGCAGACUGUGCAAGGAGCCCAUUAAUGCUGUUCACUUGAUACAUCCUUUGGUGCAGCUUGACUGUUAGAAAUUAGGAAAUUAGACAAUAAGAGAGUAGUUUGUGUGGACGUCCUAUAGGACGCCCGUGAAUGUGUGCACCAUUCAGAGGCAGUCAGCAAGGGGCCAGUACUCGUGCUUUACUAACGAUUAAAAUGGGUGAAUCAGCGUACACUUGACCUGUUCUGAUAGCCUUAUCACUUUUCUUAGAAAACGAACAAACAGAAAUGUAAGAAGGAUUUAAUGCCAGCAAAAUAGCAGUUUUGGAUAAAACUGAUGUAAUGACCCAUUUUCUGCUUAUAGAAUAAAUUCUUCAUUUCACACUUGAGUUAAUUUUUGCUCUCUCUAAAGGUCUAAGAAAUGUAAGUCUGUAGAUGUCUGAACUGUUAAACAUUUGAUUUUUUAUAAACUGCUGCUUAGUGUGAAA
ensembl:lncRNA